rnacentral:rRNA from 1 species
GAGCAAGAGCCCGGAGAUGGAUUCUGAGACACGAAUCCAGGCCCUACGGGGCGCAGCAGGCGCGAAAACUUUACACUGCGGGAAACCGCGAUAAGGGAACACCGAGUGCCAGCAUCCUAUGUUGGCUGUCCACAUGUGUAAAUAACAUGUGUUAGCAAGGGCCGGGCAAGACCGGUGCCAGCCGCCGCGGUAACACCGGCGGCCCGAGUGGUGGCCACUAUUAUUGGGUCUAAAGGGUCCGUAGCCGGUUUGGUCAGUCUUCCGGGAAAUCUGACGGCUUAACCGUUAGGCUUCCGGGGGAUACUGCCAGACUUGGGACCGGGAGAGGUAAGAGGUACUACGGGGGUAGGAGUGAAAUCUUGUAAUCCCCGUGGGACCACCAGUGGCGAAGGCGUCUUACCAGAACGGGUCCGACGGUGAGGGACGAAAGCUGGGGGCACGAACCGGAUUAGAUACCCGGGUAGUCCCAGCCGUAAACUAUGCUCGCUAGGUGUCAGGGACGGUGCGACCGUUUCUGGUGCCGCAGGGAAGCCGUGAAGCGAGCCACCUGGGAAGUACGGUCGCAAGGCUGAAACUUAAAGGAAUUGGCGGGGGAGCACUACAACGGGUGGAGCCUGCGGUUUAAUUGGAUUCAACGCCGGG